rnacentral:lncRNA from 1 species
UCAGUUUUUAAAAAGUGUUCUUGUGACCAAAUGUGGGGAGGGUAAGUCAUGGUUCUGAGCCCUCGGUUGGGUGUGUGUGGUUUCAGGGGUGAUGUAGACAACUUAUAUCUGGCCCGAGUAUGCCUUUCCUGUAACCUGGGCAUUGGAAUCUGAAAAUCCCGCUCCCUUCAGCUCCCCCUGUGUCAGCCCAUCUAUCUACCUGGCUGAAAACAAGUCCCGGGCUGAGCCCGGGAGGUGUACACAGUGCUGUCCCGCCGUAGAUGGAGGGUGUCUGAAGCGGCAAUCUCCCCCAUCUAAUUUCAGAACAUUUUCAUCAGUCAGCCCACACACUGCUCCCUCCUCUCAGAGUUUGUGUACAUGUCUAUAAAGGAGGUCAUACAAUUUAUGCUCCUUUUUUGCAUCUGGUCUAUUUCACUUACCGUGUUUCCAGGUUCAUCAACCAUAUGUCAGUCCUUCCUUAUUAUGACUGAGUAAUAUUAUUUUGCAUAUACAUCUCACUGUUUGCUUCUGUGUUUCGACUUUUUGGCUACUCCAUGCAGUGCUGCAUAUGCAUUUUUUUUUAAAGAUUUUUUUUUUGUCUCUGCAUCUGUGUUUUGCCAGUUAUAUAUGUCUGUGUGAGAGUGUCAGAUCCCCUGGAACUGGAGUUACAGGUGGUUGUGAGCUACCAUGUUGGGGCUGGGAAUUGAGCCCAGGUCCUCCGGAAGAGCAGCCAACACUCUUCACCGCUGAGCCAUCUCUCCAGGCCCCUGCAUAUGAAUAUUUAUAUACAAAUAUUUGUGUGAAUAAAUGCUUUCAGUUCUCUUGGAUCUUAAGAAUAAACUUGUUGAGUCAUGUAACUCAUGUUUAACUUAUUGAGGAACUGUAAAAUAGUUUUCCUGUCUGUUUUAAAUAUUUUUAAAGCUUUAAACAUCAACC